rfam:Schistosoma haematobium scaffold1532_6, whole genome shotgun sequence.
GUAAAGGCCCUUUUCAGUGCCACCCACAAUUUCAUUUAACUUCUUU